UACGUAGGGGGCAAGCGUUGUCCGGAUUUAUUGGGCGUAAAGAGCGUGUAGGCGGCCAGACAGGUCCGUUGUGAAAACUCGAGGCUCAACCUCGAGAUGUCGAUGGAAACCGUCUGGCUAGAGUCCGGAAGAGGAGUGUGGAAUUCCCGGUGUAGCGGUGAAAUGCGCAGAUAUCGGGAGGAACACCAAUGGCGAAGGCAGCUCGCUGGGACGUGACUGACGCUGAGACGCGAAAGCGUGGGGAGCAAACAGG
rnacentral:rRNA from 1 species